rnacentral:rRNA from 1 species
GACGAACGCUGGCGGCGUGCUUAACACAUGCAAGUCGAACGGUAAGGCCCUUCGGGGUACACGAGUGGCGAACGGGUGAGUAACACGUGGGUGAUCUGCCCUGCACUUCGGGAUAAGCCUGGGAAACUGGGUCUAAUACCGGAUAGGACCACUGCCUGUAUGGGUGGUGGUGGAAAGCUUUUGCGGUGUGGGAUGGGCCCGCGGCCUAUGAGCUUGUUGGUGGAGUGAUGGCCUACCAAGGCGACGACGGGUAGCCGGCCUGGGAGGGUGACCGGCCGCACUGGGACUUAGAUACGGCGCAGACACCUACGGGUUGCAGCAGUUUGGAAUGGUGCACAAUGGGCGCGAGCCUGAUUCAGCAACGCGGCGUGAGGGAUGGCGGCCUUCGGGUUGGAAACCUCUUUCAGCACCGACGAAGCGCAAGUGGCGGUAGGUGCAGAAGAAGGACCGGCCAACUGCGAGCCAGCAGCCGCGGUAA